rnacentral:rRNA from 1 species
AUGGCCGGCAACGAGGGAGAUGAUGGGUCCAAGGCGGCGGAGCUGGCCAAGGGGAAGCUGGUGGAGCCGGCGACUGCACCGAAGGCGCGGCUCACCGACGGCAGCGGCAGCGGCGAGGUUCGCAUCGUCGAGCGCGUCGUCCGGCAAACCUCGUCGAUGGUGCAGCUCCCCCCGCUGACCCGCACGAACUACACCGAGUGGGCGCUCGUCAUGCGAGUGCGGCUGCAGGCGCAAGGCCUGUGGGAGGUGGUCGAGCAUGGCGCUUUCAUCGACUACCGCGACGAUCGUGAAGCUUUGGGCAUUAUCCUCCAGGCUGUGCCGCUGGAGAUGUUGCGCUCCUUGGCUGCGAAGGACUCGGCGAAGGAGGCUUGGGACGCCCUCAAGACCUUGAGGAUGGGGUCCGAGCGUGUCCGCGAAGCCCGGGCGCAGAUGCGUCGAUUGGAGUUUGAGAAUCUCCGGUUCAAGGAUGGCGAGAGGAUGGAGGAGUUCGCUGUCCGCCUCACCGGCAUCGUCAACGACCUCGAGGCCCUCGGCAACGGCAUCACCGAGCACAAGGCGGUGCUCAAGUUUCUCCGUUGCGUGCCACAGCGCCACCGGCAGCUCGCGCACUCCAUCCAGUCGCUGCUCGACCUCAAGACCUUGACCAUUGAAGAGCUCACGGGUCGCUUCUUGGCCGUGGAGGAGAGCAGCCAGGGCAUGUCAUUUUUCUGCAGUUGCUGCUGA